rnacentral:tRNA from 5 species
UGCCCCGGUAGCUCAGGGGAUAGAGCACCGCUCUCCUAAAGCGGGUGUCGUGCGUUCGAAUCGCAUCCGGGGCACCCA